rnacentral:rRNA from 1 species
GAUGAACGCUAGCGGCAGGCUUAAUACAUGCAAGUCGAGGGGCAGCAUAAGUAGCAAUACUUGAUGGCGACCGGCAAACGGGUGCGGAACACGUACGCAACCUUCCUUUAAGUGGGGAAUAGCCCGGGGAAACCCGGAUUAAUACCCCGUAAUAUUAUGAUGUGGCAUCACUUUAUAAUUAUAGAUUCAUCGCUUAAAGAUGGGCGUGCGCCUGAUUAGGUAGUUGGCGGGGUAACGGCCCACCAAGCCUGCGAUCAGUAACUGGUGUGAGAGCACGACCAGUCACACGGGCACUGAGACACGGGCCCGACUCCUACGGGAGGCAGCAGUAAGGAAUAUGGUCAAUGGACGCAAGUCUGAACCAGCC